GAUGAACGCUGGCGGCGUGCUUAACACAUGCAAGUCGAACGAUGAAGCCCAGCUUGCUGGGUGGAUUAGUGGCGAACGGGUGAGUAACACGUGAGUAACCUGCCCUUAACUAUGGGAUAAGCCUGGGAAACUGGGUCUAAUACCGGCUAGGAGCGUCCACCGCAUGGUGGGUGUUGGAAAGAAUUAUCGGUUUUGGAUGGCCUCGCGGCCUAUCAGCUUGUUAGUGAGGUGAUGGCACACCAAGGCGUCGACAGGUAGACGGCCUGGGAGGGUGACCGGCCACACUGGGACUGAGACACGGCCCAGACUCCUACGUGAGGCAGCAGUGGGGAAUAUUGCACAAUGGGCGCAAGCCUGAUGCAGCGACGCCGCGUGAGUGAUGACGGCCUUCGGGUUGUAAACCUCUUUCAGUAGGGAAGAAGCGAAAGUGACGGUACCUGCAGAAGAAGCACCGGCUAACUACGUG
rnacentral:rRNA from 1 species